rnacentral:rRNA from 1 species
AGUGAACGCUGGCGGUAGGCCUAACACAUGCAAGUCGAACGGCAGCACAGUAAGAGCUUGCUCUUACGGGUGGCGAGUGGCGGACGGGUGAGUAAUACAUCGGAAUCUACUUUUUCGUGGGGUAUAACGUAGGGAAACUUACGCUAAUACCGCAUACGACCUACGGGUGAAAGCAGGGGAUCUUCGUACCUUGCGCGAUUGAAUGAGCCGAUGUCGGAUUAGCUAGUUGGCGGGGUAAAGGCCCACCAAGGCGACGAUCCGUAGCUGGUCUGAGAGGAUGAUCAGCAACACUGGAACUGAGACACGGUCAAGACUCCUACGGGAGGCAGCAGUGGGGAAUAUUGGACAAUGGGCGCAAGCCUGAUCCAGCCAUACCGCGUGGGUGAAGAAGGCCUUCGGGUUGUAAAGCCCUUUUGUUGGGAAAGAAAAGCAGCAGGUUAAUACCCCGCUGUUCCGACGGUACCCAAAGAAUAAGCACCGGCUAACUUCGUG